rnacentral:lncRNA from 1 species
AAGAAAAAAAAGCCACAAAAAGAGAAGACACACAGGAGGUAGUGGCUGCUUUCUAGAUGUUGAUCCUGGGGGCCAUGCUAACCAUAACCACCACUUUGUAGUUGCAGAAAGCCCCAGGUGUAAUGAUAGUGUAAUCAUUUUGAAGUGUAUGCAUUAUUAUGUCAAGGAAUUAGAUAUCUUGCACGAAUGCUCUCGUCUGUGUUUAGGUGUUCUAUGCCACUCUUGCUAUGGAACUGAAGUACAUGUAGAAAAGAACUCUGACUGUAUGAAUCCUUAUGACACUUGCAAAAACAAUUCAAUUUGGUUUAUGUACAGUGUAAUAUUUCUGCAGGCAUUGUCCAAAACCCUCACAGACAAGGCUUUCGUCCCCAUUAGAUGUGGCCUCAGCUGACCAGCUGUGACUGUUCUAUUAAAUUGCUGCCAGAGUUUUUACAUCCAUUACCUCCACUUUCUAGAGUAUAUUCU